CUCCCUUGCACCUCUCUCACCCACUUGCACUCUGUCUGAAAUUUAAAAAAAAAAAAAAAAUCCUUGCCCAACCCUGAGUCCUGAACAUUUACUCCUAUGUUUUCUUCUAAGAGUUCUAUAGUUUCUUUUAUGUUUAGGUGUAUUACCCCUUUUGAGCUAAUUUUUGUGUUUGGUGUAAGGCAGAAGCCCAAUUUCAUUUUUUUUUUUUUUUUGCAGGUGCAUGUUCAUUUGUCUUACCGCUAUUACUUAAAGACACUAUUUUUCUCCCUUGAAUGGACUUAGAUACCCUUGUCAAAAGCCAAUUGACCAUACACAUAUGACUUUCUGGACUCUUAAUUCUAUUCCAUUGAUCUGUGUCAGUCCUUAUCCUAGUCCCACAUUAUAUGGAUCACUGUAACUUUGCAGUAAGUUUUGAAAUUGCUAAGCAUAAGUCUUCCAACUUGUUCUUUUUCAAGAUUCUUUUGGUUUCCUGGGGUUCCUUGCAAUUCGUAGUGAAUUGUAUGAUCGACUUUUUCAUUUAUACAAAAGGACUACUAGGCUAGUGUUUUAAUAAUUCUUGAUAAUUCACUGCUUUCAUGGACCUCUGGGGUCUAGAUAGUCUUCUUCUGGGCAUAUUUUAAGAUCCUGCCAUAGGCAGAGCCCCUCACUAAGCAGCCCAGUGAUCAGUGUGGACGACAACCUGAAGAGAAGAUUGUCCAAGUAGCCUUCCUUUGAAAGUGGGAUUUGGAUAUUGCCCAGAAGAUUGGACAGAAUUAGUUUCAUGAUGUUAGGCAAACCUUACUUCCAAAGACAUAUAUUUUAGGUAUAUAUUUUAAAAUCUUGUUAAUAAUAGACAAUUAUAAAAUGUGUCAAUGAUAGCAAGCUUGAAGACCAUUCAGCCCAAGUCUGUCUCUUUGUGGUGAGGAAAUUUAAGUCUAAAAUUAUGGGAAGCAAGUAGCUAGUCCCUGACAUGCUUUAAACUCAUGUGCCCUGUAUCAUGGAUUCUCCAUUAAUACACACUUUAAAUAAUGAUUUGAAAAGUUGUAUGGGGAUGUCUUUUCUCCAAGCUAACCAAAUUCCUAUCUCAAACAUAAUACAUACUUCUUGAGGAUCUUCAUUACAGAACCGAAUUUAACUAACAUCAGACAAGGCCUUCAGGAAGUUAGUUUGAAAUGGACAAUCAUGGAAUGAAGAGCAUUUGGGAUAUGAAAGUAUCUGGCUUUUCUCUAUCAAAAAAAAAAACUUUCUUCCUUGUUAAACAUAUUGUGUUUUUAACCUUCACCAACGUCCCCUUAUGAUUAAUUACAAAAUAACUAGCUUUACAGUGAUGAAUAACUCAUCUUCAUGGGAGUACCUGCAGUAGAAUAAUUUGAGACAUUGUUAAUAUCCUUAUGCUUGUAAACUUUAUAGCGUGCUAACUUUAUAAUUAAUAGUUAGAUGAAGAUGAUAACAAACACCUAUGGAGUGCUUACCAUGUGACAGGCGCUAUCCUAUAGAUACAGGUAGAUAAUAAUAUGUAUAUUCAUUCCUUCGUAUAUAUAUGAAAUUUGUCUUGUUAUAUUCUUGGCAACCACAAGAGGUAGAGGUUACUAACUAUAUUUUACAUAUGAGGCACAGAACAGACAAAAACUCUUUCCUAGGCAAUAUGGCUCGUGAGUGGAAAAUGGAUUCAGACUCAGAUGGUCUUAAGUCUUGCAGGGCCUACACUCUUAAUCACAAGAUUUUACAACUCACUGAGGGCAAGGCCACUGCUCUUUGUAUUCUUAGGAAACUUAGAAUAAAUAAUGAGAAUGAUAGCAAAGCAGUUAUUGCAUAACUGAUGCUGGGACUUCUUUCCAGGCCAAAGAGAAAGACUGACUAAUAGAUCUGAGGCACAUGAAGGCACAUAGGGGGAUAGGGAGAAACAUUCUGUUUCCCAUCUGUGGGUUUAUUAAAUAAGGCACCUCAGUUUGGGCUACUGCCAUUCUGUCAACAGUACCAAGCCUGGUGGUAUUGAAAAAACAAACCAGAAAAACCUGGUUGAGGAAUCCUGGGGAGACCUUGGAUGACAGCCUGAAUCUGUCACUUAUUAGCCAUAGAACUCUGAGCAACUCACCUAUGCUUCAGUCUCCUCAUCUAUAAAAAGGGGGAGGGGAAGGAAGGGAUGCAAUGAGCAAAUGAAGGCUGCAUUAACACUUUAUAAAUUAUUUAAAAAACUACACAAUUGCAAAUCUCUCUCAUAUAACUUAUGAUUCAACUUAAAAUGUGUGAUCAUGGGGCGCCUGGGUGGCUCAGUCGCAUUAGUACCAACUUCGGCUCAGGUCGUCAUUUUGCGCUUUGUGGAUUUGAGCCCCGUGUCAGUGUCUCUGCUGACAGCUCGGAGCCUGGAGCCUGCUUUGGAUUCUGUACCUCUCUCUCUGUCCCUCCCCUGCUCGCACUCUGCCUCUCAAAAAUCAACAUUAAAAAAAAUUUUUUGUGGGGGCGCCUGGAUGGCUCGGUCGGUUGGGCAUCCGACUUCGGCUCAGGUCAUGAUCUCACGUCCGUGAGUUCGAGCCCCGCGUCGGGCUCUGUGCUGACAGCUCAGAGCCUGGAGCCUGUUUCAGAUUCUGUGUCUCCCUCUCUCUCUCUGCCCCUCCCCUGUUCAUGCUCUGUCUCUCUCUGUCUCAAAAAUAAAUAAACGUUAAAAAAAUUUUUUUUUUUAAUUUUUUUUUUAAAUGUGUGAUCUUUGGGACACCUGGCUGGCUCAGUCGGUAAAGCAUGUGACUCUUGAUCUCAGGGUGGUGAGUUCAAGCCCCACGUUGAACGUAGAUCUUACUUUAAAAAAACAUGAUCCUUAUGGCCUUUAUUAAGGUUGUUUUUCUACAAAAGUAUGCGUGUUUAAGUAGAAGGCAACAUUUGUGGGUUGCAAUCAUACUUUGCUGCCUGAGAGCUUUCAGUUGUCAUCUCUCAAGAAUUCGUUUUCUUAGCACAUGAUUCAGUGGAGCAUCUAUCAUCCCACCUGAAAGAUUUCUUUGCUUUUGGUCCAAAACUAGCAGGGGCACUAAAUGGCUAAGAUGGUAUUUGAUGUCUGGUGAUAAAAAUGUAUAAUCGUAUUAGAAGAAUUUUAAACAACUGGAAGUAUUCCUUAGAUUCCACAAACAUGAACUCCUUUUCAAACUUGGACAAAGUGUCAGGCAGAGGGGGAAGCUCAGGGAUGCUACUGGUUCAGAGCAUAGGAAAAGAUGCCACGUGACUGGAAUGGUCAAAUCUGAGGGGCCACGCCAGUUUACAAGCACCACGUGGUCUCAUUCACCAACAGUAGGAUUUGAACACAGCUAUGAUGAACAAACUUCCUGGUGUAUUUCUCUCUCUUUUUAAGUUUAUUGACUUAUUUUGGAGGGAGAGCACAAGCAGGGGAGAGGCAGAGAGAGAGAAUCCCCAGCAGAUUCCAUGCUGUCAGUGCAGACCACGAUGCAGGGCUGCAUCUCACAAACCAUGUGAUCGUGACCUGAACUGAAACCAAGAGGCAGGUGCUUAACCAACUGAGCCACCCAGGUGCCCCAUCCUUGGUGUAUUUCUUUCUUGCUUUUUUUUUUAUUAUUAUUCUUCCUCAGAAUUAGAUACUUCCUCAAACAGGGAGGGUGGUAGAGUCCUUGGUUUGAUCAGCAUAUCUUACAUAUUGUUUGAACAGCCACAGAGCCAAUACUCUAACCAGUUGGUUUAUGGUGGUUAAACCCUAUCUAGAAUUUUGCGUUUGCACUGGGGUGAGGAGGGGACACAUCUUAAGACCAUUGGCAAACAGAUGUGAGCGAAACUGUGAAUUCUGUUUAAACCCUCUCACGAAGAGGUUUAAGGAACUGGAGGUUUCACUUACAAAAAGAAAGGUAGUGGAAGAGGGGUUGGGGACACAUUCGAGGCACCUCUGUACAGGUUUGUGGGGGCUGAUGAUAUGGAAAGAGCAUUCAACUUGUGUUUUGCAACCCUAGAAAACAGAGUGACCUUUGUGUAACCACUGAGCCUCUUAUAUCUUAGUUGCUUCAUUUGGAUAAUCAGGGAUUGGACUAUUUCCCGAAGGUUCCCCUCAGUGCAGAAGUCCUAUGACUAACCAGGUCCAGUGAGUGGACUUCAGUGGAAGGCAGAUCUCUCACAGUGAGGUUCCUGCAUAAGAAUGGAAUUUUCCAAUCUUGCACUUGCCAAACUACAUUCAACGUGAGCCACACAAGUAAUUUUAAGAUUUCUAGAAACCACAUUUUAACUUUUUUAAUGUUUGUUUAUUUAUUUUGAGAGAGAAAGCAUGCACGCGCACCUGAGCAGGGAGGGGCAGAGAGACAGAAGGAAAGAGAGAAUCCCAAGUAGGCUCUGGGCCAUCAGCAGAGAAACCCAGAAACCACAUUUUAAAAAGAAACAGGUGCAGGGGCGCCUGGGUGGCUCAGUCAGUUAAGCCUCUGACUCUUGAUUUUGGCUCAGGUCAUGAUCUCACAAUUUGUGAGAUUGAGCCCCAUGUCAGGCGCCGUGCCGACACAUGGAACCUGCUUGAGAUUCUCUCUCCCCCUCCCUCUCUGCCCUCUUCUGUGUCCACACGUGCACAUUGUCUCUC